rnacentral:rRNA from 1 species
UCGAGGGGUAACAGGAGAAAGCUUGCUUUUUUGCUGACGACCGGCGAACGGGUGCGUAACGCGUAUAGAAUCUGCCUUGUACAGGAGGAUAGCCUUUAGAAAUGAAGAUUAAUACUCCAUAAUAUUGGGAAGCGGCAUCGCUAUCUAAUUAAACAUUUAUGGGUACAAGAUGACUAUGCGUCCUAUUAGCUAGAUGGUAAGGUAACGGCUUACCAUGGCAACGAUAGGUAGGGGGUCUGAGAGGAUUAUCCCCCACACUGGUACUGAGACACGGACCAGACUCCUACGGGAGGCAGCAGUGAGGAAUAUUGGUCAAUGGAGGCAACUCUGAACCAGCCAUGCCGCGUGCAGGAAGACUGCCCUAUGGGUUGUAAACUGCUUUUAUACAGGAAGAAACAGAUCUACGUGUAGGUCCUUGACGGUACUGUAAGAAUAAGCACCGGCUAACUCCGUGCCAGCAGCCGCGGUAAUACGGAGGGUGCAAGCGUUAUCCGGAAUCAUUGGGUUUAAAGGGUCCGCAGGCGGUCAAUUAAGUCAGAGGUGAAAUCCCAUAGCUUAACUAUGGAACUGCCUUUGAUACUGGUUGACUUGAGUUAUACGGAAGUAGAUAGAAUAAGUAGUGUAGCGGUGAAAUGCAUAGAUAUUACUUAGAAUACCGAUUGCGAAGGCAGUCUACUACGUAUAUACUGACGCUCAUGGACGAAAGCGUGGGGAGCGAACAGGAUUAGAUACCCUGGUAGUCCACGCCGUAAACGAUGGACACUAGUUGUUGGGGUUUACCUCAGUGACUAAGCGAAAGUGAUAAGUGUCCCACCUGGGGAGUACGAUCGCAAGAUUGAAACUCAAAGGAAUUGACGGGGGCCCGC